GCUACUGUACUGAAAACUGUAAACAACUGUAACACAGUGAUAAAUAUUUAUGUAUCUAAACAUAGAAAAAGUAAUAUAUUGUGCUACCAUGUUAGGACAGCUGGAUGUCACUAGGUAUUAGAAGCUGUCAUUACAUGUGGUCAGUCACUGACAGAAACAUUGUUAUGAGGUACAUAUUGUAUCAAGAUUUUUUAUAAACAAAGAAAACAGAAAAAGCUAUCUAAAAAAGAGAACCAACACAGUCAAGUUAGAGACAGCCUAUUCAAUUAGCGUUACUUAAAGGAAUAACAUACAUUUGUCUUUCUAGUAUUCCUGAUUAGCUAAAAAGUUCUGGGCUGCUUCCCAUGACUCUCCUAAAAUGUCAUUUUUAUAUACGUAAAAAAGAAGAACAAGAAAAGUUAUGCUUGUUAGAUUUUUCCUAAUUGUAGGUUUUUUUAAAAUUCAAGUUUUAGAGCUAGGUGAGACCUUAGUGAUUUAGCCAAGGCCCCAAUAUUACAGCUAAAGAAACUGGCAUUCCAAGAGCUGGUGUUUUGCCUACAGUCCCUUGAAGAUGCAGAACCAAACCCCAAGUUUUAUAACAACCCUUGCAAGUGAGCUCAAACAGGACACACAUGUCAACUUGUGAAAUUUGUGGUCACUUUAUAAGGCUGAGUUUACAAAGCCAGUUCUUCACAAACUAAGAAGUUCCUCUUAGUCACUAUGCCUGCCGUUCAGAGAGGUUAAAGAAUAAAACCUAGGCAGUAGCUAAGAGACCCGUCAGCUAGGCACUUUCCAAGGAAACUUCCAACUUCCUCUCCCUCUGGCUUCACAACUACAGAGACCACCUUCCGUACCCUGAGACUCAAGUUUUCCAUUCAACAACCUGCUUCUGUUAUCACAGGAAAAGAUGGUAAGAGACUCCCGGGCAUUCCCAGACUGCUUUCCUCCAGUUCUCUAACCUUUUAGGUGCUCUCAGUUUUUUUGAAAAUUAGGAACUUUGUAUUCUACAACCCACACCUAUUUUAAGUCAUCAUUCCUUGGAUCCAAGGUUGCUAUACAUUUCUUCUAGAAACUCAGAAAAAA
rnacentral:lncRNA from 1 species